UUAUAGGAUACUUUGUGCUGCUAUUGUUUGCACAAUCUUGGCAUGCUUUCUUAAAAAUUUUCCCUUGAUUUUCUGGUUCAUGAUUUCAGUUCAAAUAACUCAAAUUAAAGUAAAAAGGAAGAUAUACAUUCAUUGCUGGUUUAUACAAGUUAUAGUAGAUCUUUUUGCAUAUCGUUUUGGAAAUUAUAAGUUGAGAGAAGCAAAUCUGAUCUGCAUGCUAUAGUGGUACAUCCAAGAAUUUAAAUUCCUCCCUUGUAUGUUAUACUCCUUUUCUAAACUUCCAUGAUUCACAUUUCUUUUCCGUAUAUUUACAAAAUUUUCCAAUUUAUUUCUUUUAUCAUUUACUUUUCUUACUCUAGGGAUAAAUCAACACAUUAUGUAGAAGAAAGAUUCAACUAACAAACUUAUUUAGUUCUUGUUCAUCAGGCAAAAUCAAACAAAACAAUAAGAACAACUGAACAAGAAGGGUAGAGAGAGAGAGAAAAAAAAAAAAAAAAGAAAAAGAAAAAGAAAAAACAUGUUCAUUGUUUCAUUACUUCUUGCUUUUAUAAAAAAUUUACUGAAUGUGACCAUUAGCUGCAGCACAUUGAUUUACGCUUAUUGAAAUAUCACAACAUAGGAUCAUAAGUUUGUUCAUGACUUCAAUAUGCAAUGAAUUGAUUUUAAUGGCUUGACUACACCUUAGAACAAGUCUCUUUGAUGCCACCAAUGGACCAUUCUCUCUGAAGAUCUUCUGCUGUGAGAACUGAUAAGCUUUUUGGAUAUUUGAUUGAAUUUCAUGAUUGCUGCAUAUAAGUGAGAGCUUAGGGAGGUCGGCCGAGACGGUACGGGAAUCAUUAUUAAGGAUUUUCUCACAGAGUGACGGAUUGGAGGUUUUAGAGCAAAUGGUGACCAGAUUUUCAUGGGGGAUUCCAUGAGAAGGGAAAAUGGUCAGGGAAAAAGUUGCCAAAAGAAGAGCUGGGAUGAAAGAGGAUGCCACUUUCUUUUCUUCAAGUACAUUACAGGGAAAAAGUUAAGGAUCCUUCUUGGAAAAACAGCCACAUGGGCUACAUGCAAGUUAAACUCUUGAGAAACAACAAUGGGAAGAGCUGUACAUCUCCUUCAUUUUAGAUAUGACUAGACUAGAAUCUUACCUGCUUUACGACCUUACUUCAACAAGUCAGUUCUCUAGGUUGUACAAUUGUGUUAUUGAGUUCAAAGAACGUUUUCUACUUGUUCACCUUUUACAUUUCCUAUUAACCCAAUACAAUUUGUUAGACUGUGGAAACUUCUUUUAAAGGUUAGAGGUUUGAGAUCUUUAAGAAAAUAACAUAAUUUUUCAUCUUUGG